AUGGGACUGAGGAAGGUAUUAUCCCCACUGUUCCCCAUCCUCACUCAGCAGCCAAAGGGUGGAAGAGACAUGGGCAUAGACUGGAGCAGGAGAAAUCCUUCUGCAUCAGCUCAGGUCUGCCAGCCUGCAGAGUGGCCCCAAGUUAAAGCCACAGCAGCUGACUCAUCUAACAUCCCAGUUCUUUCCUUUUUUUUUUUUAAUAUUUUUAAUUUAUUUUUACAUAUUUCAUGCUUGACCACAGCAAGCUAUCUUAAUUUCUCUUCUCCCUCUCUCUCCCCCUUCUCGUUUAAUUUCCUGUGUGUUACGCAUCCUGACUUGCCUCCAAGUGAUUUUGAUUCCUCUCUUCCUCAGAUGUGUUGGAAACAGAGAACAAAGCAUGGCCACGGAUCUGCAAAUGGGCAUCUUCUCAUCUGGAUCCUGAGUGUUCUCUUGGCUGGGAGUACAUGGGAACCAAGCAGUCUGGGAAAGGUCCUUUGGCACAGCGUGAAGACCUCCAGGGCCCUGCUCCAAAGCCCAUAUGAAAGAUGGGAAUUCUCCCAUUGA
rnacentral:lncRNA from 1 species